GGCAGGUUCCAGUAGGGACUAGUUUUGGUUUGCCAGAACACACAAUUUUUUUCUCUCUCUCUCACUGUGUGGGUAAAUGCAGCUGAGGCAGGUUUUACUUUCGUGUUGCCACUCUACCAGACAGCCUCCCCUGCUAUUGAAUGUACCUUGGGUAGAACUAGAGGGAGAAUCAGCAGAAAAGGUAGAAUAUUAGUAAGAGGGAGAGGAGGAGAACUGCGCAACUGCUGAUUAGAACAUUAGCUUGUGACAGAUAAAAUAUUUUGUUUUUGAGCAGCAGCAGCGACGCGCCGCUAAUUUUAGCGCUGCUUUCAAAACAAACAAACAAGUCUCUCUGCCACGCUCGCUCUCUCAAACUCGCUCUCUAUCUCGCGGCAGCUCCAGUGCAAGGUGUAUGUUAUCAGGUGAGCUUGCAAAUAUUCAAGGACUUUCACUUCAAUUUUGAUGGAUGCGACUCGACUCCCGAAAUCAAGAGUGCGCUCUUUGAACGCCCCACCUUAUGGAAAAACACUGUCUGGCCGCGGUCGCUCUUCCAGAUUGCACGUGUAUGCGAUAAUAAGAGAGCGGGCACCACCGCUUACACGUAAGCUCCAGCGCUUAAGAAUGGUCUACUAGAAGCUGACCGAGGGGCGGGAGAGAGUGGUGAAUGACAGACUGACGAAGAGCAUAAGAGAGCGGUUGUGGUGGUGGCGGUGGUGGGAGAGGGAAGUAAAUAAAGCGGCGUUUCUGCCGCCACUGACGUCAACAAAUGGGGAGAUGUGGCAAGCUUUUUGGAAAACUCUUCAGUUCACAUAAAUCCAUGCAAUUAUCCAUAAUACCCAAAAAUUUACCUGUUUUUGGAGCUCAAAUUGUAUAUUGAGUACGCACAAACAUAUGCACCUAUGGAUACACCAACACACACAUAUAAUUAUGCACUUUUCAGUACUUUAUUCCUUUUAACUUAAACACCGCAAAAAUAAAAACAUUAUUUUGUAAGGCUGAUUAAUUAACACAUACUUAUCGACUUGGGAAUUUAUUCAGAUUAUUUGAUUUUCGUACCGAUUUUUGGUUUCGGGAGAAGUAAAAAAAAA